rnacentral:rRNA from 1 species
UACGGAAGGCAGCAGUGGGGAAUAUUGCACAAUGGGCGCAAGCCUGAUGCAGCCAUGCCGCGUGUAUGAAGAAGGCCUUCGGGUUGUAAAGUACUUUCAGUCGUGAGGAAGGUGUUAAGGUUAAUAACCUUAGCAAUUGACGUUAGCGACAGAAGAAGCACCGGCUAACUCCGUGCCAGCAGCCGCGGUAAUACGGAGGGUGCGAGCGUUAAUCGGAAUUACUGGGCGUAAAGGGCACGCAGGCGGUUAAUUAAGUUGGAUGUGAAAUCCCCGGGCUUAACCUGGGAAUGGCAUUCAAGACUGGUUAGCUAGAGUCUUGUAGAGGGGGUAGAAUUCCAUGUGUAGCGGUGAAAUGCGUAGAGAUGUGGAGGAAUACCGGUGGCGAAGGCGGCCCCUGGCAAAGACUGACGCUCAUGUGCGAAAGCUGGGGAGCAAAC